rnacentral:rRNA from 1 species
UACGGAAGGCAGCAGUGGGGAAUAUUGCACAAUGGGCGAAAGCCUGAUGCAGCUAUGCCGCGUGUAUGAAGAAGGCCUUAGGGUUGUAAAGUACUUUCAUCGGGGAGGAAAAAACAAAACUAAUAAUUUUAUUUCUUGACGUUACCCGAAAAAGAAGCACCGGCUAACUCCGUGCCAGCAGCCGCGGUAAUACGGAGGGUGCUAGCGUUAAUCAGAAUUACUGGGCGUAAAAAGCACGUAGGUGGUUUUUUUAAGUCAGAUGUGAAAUCCCUGGGCUUAACCUAGGAACUGCAUUUUGAAACUGAAAUACUAGAGUAUCGUAGAGGGAGGUAGAAUUCUAGGUGUAGCGGUGAAAUGCGUAGAUAUCUGGAGGAAUACCUGUGGCGAAAGCGGCCUCCUAAACGAAUACUGACACUGAGGUGCGAAAGCGUGGGGAGCAAACAGGGAUUAGAUACC